UUGUUCUGUGUCAGCGUCUCGUGAGCUCGUUACGUCUUCAAGAACAUUAAUUUCAUCUGAGAACGUGCCGCCCUCCCUUUUGCGAUGUGCAAAGAUCGUGCGCAAGUCGUGCGUUUUUUGGAGCGCCAGUCACGUACGAGUCGUUCAAGGAAUCGAAGGAAUGUACUACGGGCGCUCGUAGGACUCCGCAGCAUGUCCGCAGCUGAUGGCUGACGCCCGUUGCGCCCGUGGCUACCGACACGAGACCGGCUACCGACUGCGUGACAGUAUGAAAGGUCGAUCUUGGCCCACGACUGUAAAUGGAAAACCAAAAGUGGCGGUGGCGGUGUUCUCUGUCAGAGAAACAGCAAAAGUGCUAUCGCACAACGAAACAUUGCACAACUGAAGCAUCGCCUGUGCCUCAUGCUGCUGUUUCAUCAAAGAUCAAGGUCAUCGCCCUUGGAGGGACUUUAUGCAUGGCAGCAUGGUUCGAGUUCCACACGGAGAAUCCUGAAGCUAAUUCUUCCAAGGCAGAGCGGGGCAUGCUGAAAGUUAUCAGAAGGCCGAAAG